AGAGUUUGAUCAUGGCUCAGAACGAACGCUGGCGGCGUGCUUAACACAUGCAAGUCGAGUGCGCGGUUGUAGCAAUACAACUGGCGCACGGCGCACGGGUGCGUAACACGUGGGCAAUCUGCCCUUCGAUGGGGAAUAACUCCGGGAAACCGAAGCUAAUUCCGCAUAACAUUCCUUGGACUUCGGUUCGAGGACUCAAAGCCGCAAGGCGUCGAAGGAGGAGCCCGCGCCCGAUUAGCUAGUUGGUGAGGUAACGGCUCACCAAGGCAAUGAUCGGUAGCUGGUCUGAGAGGAUGGCCAGCCACACUGGAACUGAGACACGGUCCAGACUCCUACGGGAGGCAGCAGUGGGGAAUCUUGCGCAAUGGGCGAAAGCCUGACGCAGCGACGCCGCGUGGGGGAUGAAGCAUUUCGGUGUGUAAACCCCUUUCGACUGGGACGAAUACCUCGCAAGAGGGGUGACGGUACCAGUAGAAGAAGCCCCGGCUAACUACGUGCCAGCAGCCGCGGUAAGACGUAGGGGGCCAGCGUUGUUCGGAAUUACUGGGUGUAAAGGGUUCGUAGGCGGUGUGGCAAGUCGGGAGUGAAAUCUAUGGGCUUAACCCAUAGGCUGCUUCCGAAACUGCCGUGCUUGAGUGUGGGAGAGGCGCGUGGAAUUGCAGGUGUAGCGGUGAAAUGCGUAGAUAUCUGCAGGAACACCCGUGGCGAAAGCGGCGCGCUGGACCACUACUGACGCUGAGGAACGAAAGCUAGGGGAGCAAACAGGAUUAGAUACCCUAGUAGUCC
rnacentral:rRNA from 1 species